ensembl:rRNA 5S_rRNA 5S ribosomal RNA
GUCUACGGCCAUACCACCCUGAACGCGCCCGAUCUCGUCUGAUCUCGGAAGCUAAGCAGGGUCGGGCCUGGUUAGUACUUGGAUGGAAGAAAUUACGAGACUAGUUCCAACAACUGUACUUU